rnacentral:rRNA from 1 species
GUAGGUGGCAAGCGUUGUCCGGAAUUAUUGGGCGUAAAGCGCGCGCAGGUGGUUCUUUAAGUCUGAUGUGAAAGACCCCCGGGCUCAACCGGGGAGGGUCAUUGGAAACUGGGGAACUUGAGUGCAGGAGAGGAAAGUGGAAUUCCACGUGUAGCGGUGAAAUGCGUAGAUAUGUGGAGGAACACCAGUGGCGAAGGCGACUUUCUGGCCUGUAACUGACACUGAGGCGCGAAAGCGUGGGGAGCAAACAGGAUUAGAUACCCUGGUGGUCCACGCCGUAAACGAUGAGUGCUAAGUGUUGGGGGGUUUCCGCCCCUCAGUGCUGCAGCUAACGCAUUAAGCACUCCGCCUGGGGAGUACGGUCGCAAAGACUG